rnacentral:rRNA from 1 species
AACACAUGCAAGUCGAACGAAUAAGAGCCUAGCUUGCUAGGAAUUCUGUUAGUGGCAGACGGGUGCGUAACACGUGGGAACUUACCUUGCAGUAUGGGAUAACAACGGGAAACUGUUGCUAAUACCAUAUACUCUCCGAGGAGAAAAGAUUUAUCGCUGUAAGAUAGGCCCGCGCUAGAUUAGGUAGUUGGUGGGGUAAUGGCCUACCAAGCCUACGAUCUAUAGCUGGUCUGAGAGGACGACCAGCCACACUGGGACUGAGACACGGCCCAGACUCCUACGGGAGGCAGCAGUGGGGAAUAUUGGACAAUGGGCGAAAGCCUGAUCCAGCAAUGUCGCGUGAAUGAUGAAGGCCUUAGGGUUGUAAAGUUCUUUCGGUGGGGAAGAUAAUGACGGUACCCUCAUAAGAAGCUCCGGCUAACUCCGUGCCAGCAGCCGCCGUAA